UACUGCACUCUGAUGGACAGCUCGUCGUUUUUCCGGGCCUACCGUGCAGCGCUCUCUGCUCUCUGAAGUUGAGCCGCCGUGUAUACCAUACUUGGGUCUAAUCUUACAAGACCUUACGUUUGUGCACCUGGGAAAUCCAGACCACAUUGAUGGGAAAGUGAACUUCUCUAAACGGUGGCAACAGUUCAAUAUCCUGGACAGCAUGAGACGUUUCCAGCAAGCUCAUUAUGAAAUUCGCCGGAAUGACGACAUCAUCUCUUUCUUCAAUGACUUCAGUGAUCACCUGGCCGAGGAGGCGUUAUGGGAACUAUCCUUGAAAAUCAAACCUCGGAAUAUCACCCGGAGGAAAACAGAAAGAGAUGAGAAAACAUAAGUUGGGGGAAUGACUGCCAAGUGGACAUUGAAGAAGAGAUCUCCCUGACUGAGGGGGGGAUUCAAGGGGUAGAUGGAGAUAUUCAUCGUGUUUACUAGUUGUCGCUGCCCCCUCCCAAAGAGUUGGGUUACCCCGCCGACUGUCGUCUUGUGUCUUACGUUGUUAUUUUCUCUGACGUCCUAG